UACGAAGGGGGCUAGCGUUGUUCGGAAGUACUGGGCGUAAAGCGCAUGUAGGCGGACUAUUAAGUCAGGGGGGAAAUCCCGGGGCUCAACCCCGGAACUGCCUUUGAUACUGGUAGUCUCGAGUCCGGAAGAGGUGAGUGGAAUUCCGAGUGUAGAGGUGAAAUUCGUAGAUAUUCGGAGGAACACCAGUGGCGAAGGCGGCUCACUGGUCCGGUACUGACGCUGAGGUGGGAAAGCGUGGGGAGCAAACAGG
rnacentral:rRNA from 1 species